CCUACGGGAGGCAGCAGUGAGGAAUAUUGGUCAAUGGCCGGAAGGCUGAACCAGCCAUGCCGCGUGAAGGUCAGUGCCCUAUGGGCGUUAAACUUCUUUUGUGCGGGAGCAAUAAUGGUCACGUGUGGCCAGACGAGAGUACUGUACGAAUAAGCAUCGGCUAACUCCGUGCCAGCAGCCGCGGUAAUACGGGGGAUGCAAGCGGUAUCGGGGUUGAUUGGGGUUAAAGGGUGCGUAAGCUGGGAGGAAAGUCAGCGGUGAAAUGCCCCAGCUCAACGGGGUGAAGUGCCAUUGAUACUGCCUAACUGGAAUGCAGAUGACGUGGGAGGAAUGUGUGGUGUAGCGGUGAAAUGCAUAGAUAUCACGCAGAACACCGAUUGCGAAGGCAUCUCACGGAUCCGCGAUUGACGCUGAUGCACGAAAGCGUGGGUAGCAAACAGGAUUAGAUACCCCGGUAGUC
rnacentral:rRNA from 1 species